ACGCUGGCGGCAGGCUUAACACAUGCAAGUCGAACGGUAGCAGGAGAAAGCUUGCUUUCUUGCUGACGAGUGGCGGACGGGUGAGUAAUGCUUGGGAAUCUGGCUUAUGGAGGGGGAUAACUACGGGAAACUGUAGCUAAUACCGCGUAGUGUCGAGAGACGAAAGUGCGGGACCGCAAGGCCGCAUGCCAUGAGAUGAGCCCAAGUGGGAUUAGGUAGUUGGUGGGGUAAAGGCCUACCAAGCCUGCGAUCUCUAGCUGGUCUGAGAGGAUGGCCAGCCACACUGGAACUGAGACACGGUCCAGACUCCUACGGGAGGCAGCAGUGGGGAAUAUUGCGCAAUGGGGGGAACCCUGACGCAGCCAUGCCGCGUGAAUGAAGAAGGCCUUCGGGUUGUAAAGUUCUUUCGGUAUUGAGGAAGGUUGAUGUGUUAAUAGUACAUCAAAUUGACGUUAAAUACAGAAGAAGCACCGGCUAACUCCGUGCCAGCAGCCGCGGUAAUACGGAGGGUGCGAGCGUUAAUCGGAAUAACUGGGCGUAAAGGGCACGCAGGCGGUUAUUUAAGUGAGGUGUGAAAGCCCCGGGCUUAACCUGGGAAUUGCAUUUCAGACUGGGUAACUAGAGUACUUUAGGGAGGGGUAGAAUUCCACGUGUAGCGGUGAAAUGCGUAGAGAUGUGGAGGAAUACCGAAGGCGAAGGCAGCCCCUUGGGAAUGUACUGACGCUCAUGUGCGAAAGCGUGGGGAGCAAACAGGAUUAGAUACCCUGGUAGUCCACGCUGUAAACGCUGUCGAUUUGGGGAUUGGGCUUAAAGCUUGGUGCCCGUAGCUAACGUGAUAAAUCGACCGCCUGGGGAGUACGGCCGCAAGGUUAAAACUCAAAUGAAUUGACGGGGGCCCGCACAAGCG
rnacentral:rRNA from 1 species